ACUCUCUCUAUCUGGCGCGCGCGUGUGUGUGUGAGCGUGCGUGUGUGUGUGAUGGUCCUUUCUUCCUCGUGUCUCUCCAAACGCACAUAUGCAGUAAAAUGCUGCUGCCUCUGAAGCUCGUGCACCUUUUUUUACUGCGCGUGGACUCAUCUGCGGACCUGCGGCCUGGCGCACCUCUCAAGACCCCUGACUGUACAGCACUGCUGGACAGGAAAGACAAAUUCAACCCCACUUCUGUUCAGAGAACUCCUGGCCCUGUAUGGACUUCACCUCAGUGGGAACUGACCUUGAAUCCCCAGCAAUAGGAUAAAAGUUUUAAUUUUCUGAAUUUUUUUUAAACUUUUUUAUGCCACUGCCCCCUAACUGAAUGCAUUUAUUCUCUUUUAUUCCUCUUUUAAUUUAAAAGGCUUCAAAUAUGCCAAUCUUUGCUGAUAUUAACUUAGAACAAAAUGAAAAAACAGUUGAUUAUUUUCCCUUUACAUGAGUAUUAUGUAAGUUUGUAUUUUACUGUUUGUGUGGGUAAAUGCUCAAUAAAAUAUAACUAUGAAAUAGCCCAUAA